rnacentral:rRNA from 1 species
AUGGCUAAAUAUUGGUGGAGCAGUGACAUUGACAGGAGAUCUCUUCAUUGGCUGUCUUGGAAGAAUCUCUCUGUACCGAAAGCAGAAGGAGGCAUGGGUUUUCGUGACUUUGAGCUUUUUAAUCUAGCCCUUCUCGGCAAGCACGGGUGGCGGCUAAUGACAAACCCUGACUCCUUGUGUUCGCGAGUUCUGAAGGGAAAGUAUUUCCAUAACUGCAGCUUUAUGGAUGCUACAGCGCCUCGCUCGGCAUCUGCUACGUGGAAAGCUAUUAUUUCAGGGCGU